rnacentral:rRNA from 1 species
AACGAACGCUGGCGGCAUGCCUAACACAUGCAAGUCGAACGAGACCUUCGGGUCUAGUGGCGCACGGGUGCGUAACGCGUGGGAACCUGCCCUUAGGUUCGGAAUAACUCCCCGAAAGGGGUGCUAAUACCGGUUAAUGUCUUCGGACCAAAGAUUUAUCGCCUUUGGAUGGGCACGCGUUGGAUUAGCUAGUUGGUAGGGUAAAAGCCUAACAAGGCGACGAUCCAUAGCUGGUCUGAGAGGAUGAUCAGCCACACUGGGACUGAGACACGGCCCAGACUCCUACGGGAGGCAGCAGGGAGGAAUAUUGGACAAUGGGCGAAAGCCUGAUCCAGCAAUGCCGCGUGAGUGAUGAAGGCCUUAGGGUUGUAAAGCUCUUUUACCCGGGAUGAUAAUGACAGUACCGGGAGAAUAAGCUCCGGCUAACUCCGUG